rnacentral:lncRNA from 1 species
GGGGAGAUGAAAGAUCAAGAGGCGUUGUUUUAGAGUUAGAGCCGUGACUGACCAUAUGCUUGUUUUGCAGUUAUUUCCAAAAAUAGAUGAUUAGUGGUGAGAAGCAACUGGUUUCUGAUGCUUAUAAGGGGGUCAGUUAAUAUUAUUUCCAACUGUUGGGGUAAGAUACAGGGUAGGCUGUGUACCUAACAGAAAGAGAUUGCUAAACUUCACAGUGCAUUGGAUCAGAUUUCAUGGAGCUCUUUACUGCCUCGACAAAGCUGUUGCCAAAUUUCUCAAACCUUUAAUAUUUCCUGGAAAAGAGAAGAGGUUGAGGGGGCUCUGUUUUCAGGGGAAGAACACCUCGCUGUACCAUAUUACCUAUAAUCGACACCAAGAGAGUCGCAGGAGGAUGGAGGCAUGUGGAUGGCAGAGAACAUCCCUGGAGGUUCAGCUUGUUAAAGGCAGCAUCGACUUGAUCGAUAACUGAUGGGAAGGAGUGUAUUAAUAGCUCUGCUCCGUCACCGCUCAGGUGGCACGAGCCCGAGGUGCAUUUUCUACACUGGCUCCCAGUGAUGGCAGCAGGAUUAAGCUCUAAUUGUCUGCAGCGAUGACUCGCUUGAUAACAAACCUGUCAUUGGCUGUCUUCCCUUUGCCCUCUCACUUCCUUGAAAACUCCCCUGAUGGUGUUUCUCGAGAUUUCCUCUCAAAUAAACUGUUUA